rnacentral:rRNA from 1 species
CCUACGGGAGGCAGCAGUGAGGAAUAUUGGUCAAUGGACGAGAGUCUGAACCAGCCAAGUAGCGUGAAGGAUGACUGCCCUAUGGGUUGUAAACUUCUUUUAUAUGGGAAUAAAACGUUCCACGUGUGGGAUUUUGUAUGUACCAUAUGAAUAAGGAUCGGCUAACUCCGUGCCAGCAGCCGCGGUAAUACGGAGGAUCCGAGCGUUAUCCGGAUUUAUUGGGUUUAAAGGGAGCGUAGGUGGAUUGUUAAGUCAGUUGUGAAAGUUUGCGGCUCAACCGUAAAAUUGCAGUUGAAACUGGCAGUCUUGAGUACAGUAGAGGUGAGCGGAAUUCGUGGUGUAGCGGUGAAAUGCUUAGAUAUCACGAAGAACUCCGAUUGCGAAGGCAGUUCACUGGACUGCAACUGACGCUGAGGCUCGAAAGUGUGGGUAUCAAACAGGAUUAGAUACCCCAGUAGUC